rnacentral:misc_RNA from 1 species
AGUUUGCAAUGGGGAAUGCAAAAGGUAAGAGUGAUUCUUGCUACAGAAAUUUUUGAAAACAAGAAAGAUAAAGAAGUUAUAAAAAAGGUGGAUACUGUAAGGAAGUGGCAGAAUUUUAGGAGCCAAAAUGGUGAGUUUAGCUGUUGUAAUCCUACAAGUCUCAUGGGAGAUAUCAAGAAGGGAAAGGAAGAAAAUUAAACCACCAAAUGGUAUUGUGAUCUUAAAGGAACAAACAUGGGAAAUUGGGAGAAGAGAAAGGAAGAAAAUUAACUCUUUGUCAUAAGUGUUCAUACUUUUAGCUGAUGAGAAGGAUGUACCUAAAACUUCCAGCCAAUUUUUUUUUUGGGUCAUUCAAUUCAUAUUUCCAGCUGCAAACGAGCAAGUACCUGCAAUUUCAGUUCAUAUUUCCUGAAUUUUCACAUUCUUGGGGACAAGAAUGUGCUCAUGGGGGAAGGUAUUGUUACGUAUAGCAGAGCUAGAUAUGGGAAAGGAAAAAAUAGGAAUGCAGCUGUAGUUGUGUGAGGAGAGUAGAGUAGUUAUUGUAGAGAGAGUGUUUGCUAUAUAAAUAAGAGAAAUGUACUAGAGGA